rnacentral:rRNA from 1 species
AUGAACGCUGGCGGCGUGCCUAAUCCCUGCCAGUCGAGCGAACAGACGAGGAGCUUGCUCCUCUGACGUUAGCGGCGGACGGGUGAGUAACACGUGGAUAACCUACCUAUAAGACUGGGAUAACUUCGGGAAACCGGAGCUAAUACCGGAUAAUAUAUUGAACCGCAUGGUUCAAUAGUGAAAGACGGUUUUGCUGUCACUUAUAGAUGGAUCCGCGCCGCAUUAGCUAGUUGGUAAGGUAACGGCGUACCAAGGCAACGAUGCGUAGCCGACCUGAGAGGGUGAUCGGCCACACUGGAACUGAGACACGGUCCAGACUCCUACGGGAGGCAGCAGUAGGGAAUCUUCCGCAAUGGGCGAAAGCCUGACGGAGCAACGCCGCGUGAGUGAUGAAGGUCUUCGGAUCGUAAAACUCUGUUAUUAGGGAAGAACAAAUGUGUAAGUAACUAUGCACGUCUUGACGGUACCUAAUCAGAAAGCCACGGCUAACUACGUG